AGAGUUUGAUCCUGGCUCAGGACGAACGCUGGCGGUGCGCCUUAUGCAUGCAAGUCGAGCGAAGCUUUUCAGUAGUUUACUACAGAAAAUGACUGAGCGGCGAACGGGUGAGUAACGCGUGAGCAAUCUACCUUAGUUACAGGGAUAGCCCGAGGAAACUCGGAUUAAUACCUGAUAUUCUUUAUUCCUCGCAUGAGAAUAAAAGGAAAGGUCAGCCGAACUAAGAUGAGCUCGCGUUCUAUCAGCUAGUUGGUGAGGUAAAAGCUCACCAAGGCUACGACGGAUAGCUGGUCUGAGAGGACGAUCAGCCACACUGGGACUGAGACACGGCCCAGACUCCUACGGGAGGCUGCAGCAGGGAAUAUUGUGCAAUGAACGAAAGUUUGACACAGCGACACCGCGUGUGGGAUGACGGAUCUAGGUUUGUAAACCACUUUCAGGAGGGAAGAAAAUGACGGUACCUCCAUAAGAAGCCCCGGCCAACUACGUGCCAGCAGCCGCGGUAAUACGUAGGGGGCGAGCGUUGUCCGGAUUUAUUGGGCGUAAAGAGCUCGUAGGCGGUUCAACAAGUCGGUCGUGAAAGUUCAGGGCUCAACCCUGAAAUGUCGAUCGAUACUGUUGUGACUAGGAUACGGUAGAGGUGAGUGGAAUUCCGAGUGUAGCGGUGAAAUGCGUAGAUAUUCGGAGGAACACCAAUUGCGAAGGCAGCUCACUGGGCCGCUAUCGACGCUGAGGAGCGAAAGCUAGGGGAGCAAACAGGAUUAGAUACCCUGGUAGUCCUAGCUGUAAACGAUGGAUACUAGACGUAGGAACUGGAUUGACGGUUUCUGUGUCGUAGCUAACGCGUUAAGUAUCCCGCCUGGGGAGUACGGUCGCAAGACUAAAACUCAAAGGGAAUUGACGG
rnacentral:rRNA from 1 species